rnacentral:miRNA from 1 species
AACAUCAUUGACCAGAAGGGAUUCCUUCCGGUCAAUGAGGUGUAACAGCCUCAUUGACCAGAAGGGAUUCCUUCCGGUCGAUGAGGUG